CUACGUGCCAGCAGCCGCGGUAAUACGGAAGGUCCGGGCGUUAUCCGGAUUUAUUGGGUUUAAAGGGAGCGUAGGCCGGGGAUUAAGUGUGUUGUGAAAUGUAGGCGCUCAACGUCUGAUGUGCAGCGCAUACUGGUUUCCUUGAGUACGCACAACGUUGGCGGAAUUCGUCGUGUAGCGGUGAAAUGCUUAGAUAUGACGAAGAACUCCGAUUGCGAAGGCAGCUGACGGGAGCGCAACUGACGCUGAAGCUCGAAGGUGCGGGUAUCGAACAGGAUUAGAUACCCUGGUAGUCCGCACGGUAAACGCUGGAUGCCCGCUGUUUGUCCUUUAGGAUAAGCGGCCAAGUGAAAACGUUAAGCAUCCCACCUGGGGAGUACGCCGGCAACGGUGAAACUCAAAGGAAUUGACGGGGGCCCGCACAAGCGGAGGAACAUGUGGUUUAAUUCGAUGAUACGCGAGGAACCUUACCCGGGCUUGAA
rnacentral:rRNA from 1 species